rnacentral:lncRNA from 1 species
AUAGAAGUGAAAAUUAAAAUCUUCAUACUUGUUUCAUUGAAAGUGGACUUAGUGGAGAGUGAGUAAUUUUCGGCUGUAAAUAUCUACUUUUGGUAUUUGAUUUAUUGUAACUUUAUCUUUGGUUGAAACUUAAACUUUCCAAAGUAAAGCAAUUGAUUUUGACCCACAUGAGAUCAAAGUCAAUUACGAAUAAAACAUGAGAAAAAAAAUAAAAUAUUAAAUUAUCCGUCACACCUCUAAAUAUUACGUCAUCCAUUUUCUACGAAAUAAACAACAAAGCUGAAAAAUCUUCAAUUUCAUAGCUAUAAAAAAAAAAAAAAAAUCUAUUCCAACCUAAUCUUCACCCUUUAUUGG